UGUUCAUGUUCGAAUUGCCAUUCCAGAGAAUGAUCAUGUCAAACAAGGGAAGGGUGAAACGCGGAGUUUGAAUUCAAAGGUCCUAGACUUUUUUGGAAGCAACUUUUGAUUUCUGGAUCCGAUGAGUUCGAAAACACCAUUUUACAUAUGGCUGCCAAGUUAGCACCUCCUGAUAGACUUGCUGGCAUCUCAGGUGCAGCAUUGCAGAUGCAAAGAGAGCUACAAUGGUAUAAGGAAGUAGAAAGCAUUUCGAUUUUCCUGUCGAAUAAGAAUAC